AUGAAAGUCUAAUGAUUUGAUGAAUUAUGUUGAGAAUGCGACCCCUAGAAGAAGAAAAACAUUAAUGGGAAAAUCUUGGGUGCAGACAGGGUUUGAUACCCUGGUGUCUCACGCUGAUAAAGAUUUGAAUUUUGAAAGUAGUGCCUUUGGGCAGUGGCUUCGGAAGCUAACGCGUUAAAUCGACCGCCUGGGGAGGGCGGCCGCAAGGUUAAAACUCAAAUGAAUUGUCGGGGGCCCGCACAAGCGGUGGAGCAUGUGGUUUAAUUCGAUGCAACGCGAAGAACCUUACCUACUCUUGACAUCCAGAGAACUUAGCAGAGAUGCUUUGGUGCCUUCGGGAACUCUGAGACAGGUGCUGCAUGGCUGUCGUCAGCUCGUGUUGUGAAAUGUUGGGUUAAGUCCCGCAACGAGCGCAACCCUUAUCCUUUGUUGCCAGCGGUUCGGCCGGGAACUCAAAGGAGACUGCCAGUGAUAAACUGGAGGAAGGUGGGGAUGACGUCAAGUCAUCAUGGCCCUUACGAGUAGGGCUACACACGUACUACAAUGGCGUAUACAAAGAGAAGCGACCUCGCGAGAGCAAGCGGACCUCAUAAAGUACGUCGUAGUCCGGAUUGGAGUCUGCAACUCGACUCCAUGAAGUCGGAAUCGCUAGUAAUCGUAGAUCAGAAUGCUACGGUGAAUACGUUCCCGGGCCUUGUACACACCGCCCGUCACACCAUGGGAGUGGGUUGCAAAAGAAGUAGGUAGCUUAACCUUCGGGAGGGCGCUUACCACUUUGUGAUUCAUGACUGGGGUGAAGUCG
rnacentral:rRNA from 1 species